GGGGGUGAGCAGGGCUGGGGUAGGGUCAGAGCAAGGACAAAUGAAAGCCAGUACUGAGGGUGGCCCACUGGUGGGCCUCUGCUCUGGGUAGGUGAAAGCAGGGACAGGGCCUGAAGGGGACCCUUGCCCGGUUUCUAUGGGUAGUGAUGCCAGCCACCGAUUUCUGGGCCCUGAGUCCCAGUCAGUCUGGGAGGGAAAGUGACAAAAGGGGAUGCCAGCUGCCUUGCCCCCCCCCCCCCCCCCCCCACAGCUGGGCUCAGAGCCCAGGAACCUCUCUUGAGGCCUUUUCUUGUUUCCUUAUCUGGAAAAGGGGGGACUGCCUUCCCAUCCCAGCCUGAAACUAAGGUCCGUGUGAUACCACAGCCCCUGUCUGGGCACUGUAGGGGGGAAGUGGACCCGGAGGGAGCCCAGAAGCUCUGCUCAAGGCCCCAUUAUUGGCAGGAAUAUCCACAGGACUCCCGUCACCCCAGCAGGUCACAGGCCGGAUGCACAUUGGAGGCUCUCACCAUCCUGAGUGUCACUCUGUAGGCUGUGUCUGGGAAGCGGUGACCCUAUGAGAUUGUGUGCGGGAUGGCCCUGACUGGGGGGGGUCUCCUUAGGACCCCCUCACAUCACCCGGGGCCCCAGCCUCUCCGCAACCUCCUCUCCAUCGCCCGGGCUUGGCCUCGGGAAGGACGCCGCCUCGGUGGGCUGGGGUGGGCCCCGGAGGAAGGAGCAGCUUGACUCGGAGUUAACAGGAAGAAGUUGAGCAGGCGGGGCAGGGGCGAGAACCACCAACUGCGCGCCUGCCUGGGUGGGGUUUGGGGUCAGGAGAGGAUGUGACUGUAAAGCCAGGAAGCUGCAGGGAAAGUUCUGAUUAAAACACACACACAAACAAAAGGCAGGUCCUCACUGUGCUUGGCGAUGAGCUCUGGGGCUGCGGUGCUGCGGGCCGGACCCGGGGCCCAGCUGAGCACACAGUUUGCUCCCAAGCGAGCAUCAAUGACCUCGACGACCGCCAUCCCCCCCCAGGAGGAGAGAGCCGGAACCAGCAGCCUCUGACCCCUCCUGGUGUCCUGACUGACCGGCCACAGAGACAGAGAGCCCCGGGGGACCAGUCUGCUCAGCCAAGGAGCCCUGAGGAGCCGGGGGGUGGCACCAGUGCCCAGCCUGCCCCGAGAAGGCCCCGGCCAGACCAUGGCAGGUGUCUGUGACACGGCCCCCAACUUUCUCUCCCCGUCUGGAAACCAGGCCCUGGAGCCUGCCCUGGGCAGUGCGGUCUCCCUGAACUGCACGGCCUGGGUGGUCUCUGGGCCCCACUGUCCCCUGCCCUCAGUCCAGUGGCUGAAAGAUGGGCUGCCGCUGGGCAAUGGAAGCCACUGUGGCCUCCAUGAAGACUCCCGGAUCAAGGCCAACUCAUCAGAGGUACUUGUGUCCAGUGUUCUGGGGGUCAACCUGACCAGUGCUGAGGACUAUGGGGUCUUCACCUGCUCCAUCCGGAAUGUCAGCUCCUCCUCCUUCACUCUUUGGAGAGCUGGCCCAGCUGGCCACCUGGCCGCAGUGCUGGCCUCACUCCUGGUCCUGCUGGCCCUGCUCCUGGCGGCCCUGCUCUAUGUGAAGUGUCGACUGAAUGUGCUGCUCUGGUACCAAGACGCCUACGGGGAGCUGGAGAUGAACGACGGGAAACUCUACGACGCCUACGUCUCCUACAGCGACAGCCCCGAGGACCGGAAGUUCGUGAACUUCAUCCUGAAGCCACAGCUAGAGCGGCGUCGGGGCUACAAGCUCUUCCUGGAUGACCGCGACCUCCUGCCACGCGCGGAGCCCUCCGCCGAUCUCCUGGUGAACCUGAGCCGCUGUCGACGCCUCAUCGUGGUGCUGUCGGAAGCAUUCCUGGGCCGGGCCUGGUGCAGCCACAGCUUCCGGGAGGGCUUGUGCCGGCUACUGGAGCUCACGCGCAGGCCCAUAUUCAUCACCUUCGAGGGCCAGAGGCGCGACCCCGUGCACCCCGCGCUCCGCCUGCUGCGCCAGCACCGCCACCUGGUGACCCUGCUGCUCUGGAAGCCCGGCUCCGUGGCGCCUUCUUCAGAGUUUUGGAAGGAGCUGCAGCUGGCACUGCCACGGAAGGUGCGGCACAGAGCCCUGGAGGGAGACCCCCAGACCCGGCUGCAGGGUGACAAGGACCCCAUGCUGAUCGUGCAAGGCCACCUGCCCGAGGGUCGCACCCUGCACCUGGAGCUGGACCCCGACCCUGAGGGGGACCUGGGUAUGCCCCCCUGGUCCCACCCCGACCCUGAGAAGCUUGGCCUGGGGCGGAGGGGGUGCACGGGGCUGAGGAGCCCAGAAAGGGGUCCAGGUGGCGGGGACUUCCUCCCUGCAGCCCAUCGGUGGGCUUGACCCCCAGCACACCCUCAGUGCCUCCUUCCCGGAGGCACGCGGACCCAAGGCCUGCCUGGGAAUCUCCAGGACCUCAGAUGCCACUAUGCAGGAGGGUGUCCGAGGGCCUAUCUUUGGGGAGCCAUCAGCUCCACCCCAUGCAAGUGGGGUCGCCCUUGGAGAGGGCCGGGGCAGCGAGGUGGAUGUCUCGGACCUCGGCUCCCGCAACUAC